AUUGAACGCUGGCGGCAUGCCUUACACAUGCAAGUCGAACGGUAACAGGUCUUCGGAUGCUGACGAGUGGCGAACGGGUGAGUAAUACAUCGGAACGUGCCCGAGAGUGGGGGAUAACGAAGCGAAAGCUUUGCUAAUACCGCAUACGAUCUCAGGAUGAAAGCAGGGGACCGCAAGGCCUUGCGCUCACGGAGCGGCCGAUGGCAGAUUAGGUAGUUGGUGGGAUAAAAGCUUACCAAGCCGACGAUCUGUAGCUGGUCUGAGAGGACGACCAGCCACACUGGGACUGAGACACGGCCCAGACUCCUACGGAGGCAGCAGUGGGGAAUUUUGGACAAUGGGCGCAAGCCUGAUCCAGCCAUGCCGCGUGCAGGAUGAAGGCCUCGGGUUGUAACUAGCUUUGUACGGUAACGAAAAGGACUACUGGUUAAUACCUGGGU
rnacentral:rRNA from 1 species